CGGAUAACUGGUGUAUACUUAUUCCUUAUGUAUCUAAUGAUUUGCACAAAAUGCAGGUUGGAGGAAGUUCCAUAUAUUUACUACCAACUUUAAGGGGACCAAAGUAAAUGGUCAUUUCCAAGGAUUAGUGUCAGUGAUGAAAGGACAUUCCGAUCUUAAUAUAUGUCCCGGUCGAAUGAAGUCAGAACUCUACUGAUAGCCAAGGAGUUACCUUGUCGCUAUUUCUCAACAGUAUUCCUGAGACAAUUUCCACCAGAGAUUGGUUUCGCCUUUUUGUAUUACUGGACUUGAUAUCAUCAAUAAUUGUGUUAUUAUGUAAAAAUUAUAAACACUAUUCUGAUGUUCUGUAUUGUGUUACAGAACUCAUUUGGUGCCGUAACCAAGGAUAAGCUAGUCAGACGAACGGGAACACUAAAGUCGCCGAGGAACAGUUCUCUACGUACUCUCUCUCUGUUAACAAUUCAUGGAAAAGAUAAGUCAUUUAGGAGAUGCAUGAGUCAUGAACCACAUCCGCAGUGUCUAUUUCAAUAAGACUGUUGUACUGCCUCAAGCGAUCGAGCUAGGUCACCUUACGAUGGAUUGGUCUUGCAUGGUCCAAGCGCAUACCGGUCUUGUUGGCAAUGAGAAAUGACAAAGACAAAGUGCCGUGAGGAGCGGUAUGUACAGCUGAGUGACUUAGUGCAGCGAGGUGGUAUUCUUCGGUGCAGCUGCACCCGACUAGAACUUUAGCAUAAUGGACAGACCGAUCGUCAUUGUACUCUGGAUUAGUGUAGGCUUAACCAGACGGUUCCGAUACCUUACUGAUCGCAAGAAGAGGUCAUAGAUGAAAUGGCAUAUCGAUAGGCAUCCUGGGGUGGACGCAUCCACUGUUAACUGGCCGAGACUGACCGGGAACCAUCACUAGCAUUUUCUAUGUCAUCGUAAUGACAACCGUUAACAGCUUUUAGAAGAAAUUUUAGAUGAGCGGUUCAACAAUUAAUUCCCAGCAGGCAUACAACGUUGUACCAACGUUGAAAGUACGUUGAUUAUGGUUGACGACAUUGAACAACCAGAAACAACGUUACAGGACGUUGAAAAAAAGACGUUGAAAACCAAACCAAUUUUCAACGGUAGUAUGACGUCUUGUACUCUGAGAUAUAUCGACUAAGACAUAACAUAAAAAAAUUAUCUGAUUGUAUUGUUUUGUAAUAAAUAUAUGCAUUUUCCCAGAUCAAGACUGAACAAUAAUAGGCCUUUGUACUUCCAAUUCUUUAAAGUGGGUCGCGGGUUUACCCUAUAAAAAAUCUUACGAGAAAACAUACCCUGAAAAUUUAAAUCGUUAUUUAGGAUACACAGUUCAUUAUAUAAAUUUUUUAUCGAAUUUGCCCACGCUAUUUGUAUGCAAUACCGCUCUAAACUUAGUAUUGUCUGUAGUGCUGUUUUGACGCUUUUCUAAUGAAAUAUAUAGGAAAAUGAGCAUAUUUCUCUUUAUAUUCGAGAUGGAGUUUUUUUUUAAAACUGCAAAUAGCUUCUUAACAAUUUAGACGAAUUUAUCAACGGUGUCUAUGUGUAAAGAAAACGUGAUUUACAAAUUAUUUAUGUAAAAAAAAUUAUAUGUGUUCUCGCUAGAUUUUUUGCUAUUUUAUUUUAUGUUUCUGAUUAUUCUACCAAAAAUUGUCGCAUUUCGGUAUUUGACGUCAUGAUUACGACGUCAAAAAUGUUAAACCUGUUCCACUUACUAAGUGAUGCAAUUAUUUAAAAACUAAACCCAG